CAUAGCCUACGGGACGCAGCAGUGAGGAAUAUUGGUCAAUGGGCGGAAGCCUGAACCAGCCACGUCGCGUGAGGGAAUAAGGCCCUACGGGUCGUAAACCUCUUUUGCCGGGGAGCAAGGGCGGGGACGUGUCCCGGCCCGGAGAGUACCCGGAGAAAAAGCAUCGGUUAACUCCGUGCCAGCAGCCGCGGUAAUACGGAGGAUGCGAGCGUUAUCCGGAUUUAUUGGGUUUAAAGGGUGCGUAGGCGGGCUUUUAAGUCAGCGGUAAAAAUUCGGGGCUCAACCCCGUCCGGUCGUUGAAACUG
rnacentral:rRNA from 1 species